CUGAGGAGGUAGUCAAGUAUUUUUAUUGGUGCGUGAAAAUGCCAUGCAUACUUUCAGAUGUAGGAGCAUGGCGUCGUCGUUGAGGAACUGGUUGACGCCUGCUUUUCGCAUCAGAUCAAGUGGAAGAGAUCGUAUGAAGAUUCAAACAGAUCCUUAGCAUCUGUGCGGAGAUAGGUUUGGAACUGCGAUAAGCAAUAUGAUUCUAGGCCAAGGUAGGCUUCUGCAACCGUGUUGAAAUCUCGUAGGAAUGCAAGAAAAUCCUGUCCAAGGGUGUAUAAGCCAAAAAAUAACGCUGGGAGCCGACCCAUGUUGUUACUUGUGUGUGAUA